CCUACGGGGGACAGCAGUGAGGAAUAUUGGUCAAUGGACGAGAGUCUGAACCAGCCAAGUAGCGUGAAGGAUGACUGCCCUAUGGGUUGUAAACUUCUUUUAUAAAGGAAUAAAACGAGGUACGUGUGCCUUUUUGCAUGUACCUUAUGAAUAAGGAUCGGCUAACUCCGUGCCAGCAGCCGCGGUAAUACGGAGGAUCCGAGCGUUAUCCGGAUUUAUUGGGUUUAAAGGGAGCGUAGAUGGGUUGUUAAGUCAGUUGUGAAAGUUUGCGGCUCAACCGUAAAAUUGCAAUUGAUACUGGCAGUCUUGAGUACAGUUGAGGUAGGCGGAAUUCGUGGUGUAGCGGUGAAAUGCUUAGAUAUCACGAAGAACCCCGAUUGCGAAGGCAGCUUGCUAAACUGUAACUGACAUUGAUGCUCGAAAGUGUGGGUAUCAAACAGGAUUAGAUACCCCAGUAGUC
rnacentral:rRNA from 1 species